AGGCUCAAGCCCUUCUCCUGCCUCAGGCUUCCGAGUAGCUGGGACUACAGCUCUAGAUCCCCCAGGCUGCCCGGGAGGCAGAUGUUCGACUCAUGUCUGUGGGUGGACAAGCCCAGACCAGGAUGCAGAAGAGAUGCAGCUGCAGCAGUAUCAGGAUGUGGCCCUGGCUUGGUGUUCACAGCACGAUGCUCCUAAGGAGGGGAGGUGAAUCAUGGGGCCCUUGCACCUCACAGGGCAGCUGUAACAGUUAGAGAGUGCGAGACAGAAAGCCAAACAGCGUAGGACGCGACUCACCGACCCUGAGCCUGCAUCUCGCCUGUGCCCACGCCUCUGCCAGAAAACCAUCAAGACGCUUUCCAAUUCAAAGACUCAGAAUUAAGGCUGCGUUCAUGUCGCUUCUCAUUUAUUAAUUCAGUCUAAGUUGUACAGUUAUGAAAAUAACAAAACCAAAGCUGGAAGCCCAGGAAUAUUUACACUCUCUUGGGUAGUGAGGUCAGUCUAUGUUGUUGCACAGAUUGGUUAUGUUUGGUACCUCAAAAUGUUUAUAAUUCAGACAAAAUCAGACAGAUUAACAAUUUUAUGUACAGUAAAACAAAAGGGGAAGUCAUUCAAGUAUCAAAAUACAGAGACAAAGAUUAAAUAACAUUUUUUAUUACAGUUCAGUCCAUUGCCACACCAUGAGCAACAAUACUUGUGAGCUGGCCUGGGUGUCUCACAGACAGCCCCCGUUCAGACUGGCUUUCUAAUGUCUCUGCCUGCUGCCUGCUCCAACCUGAGCGUCUCGGGAACUCCCAUUAGUGUCUGAAGCUGGAGGGCCCAGGAGGGACACGGAGCACUGCACACGCAGAGCCUGUCGGGAAGGUCUUAUGCGCUGAGCAGCUGGUGGACAGGGAAGAAGAGGUGGACAAGAAGCCUGUGGCUGGAACAGGUACUGAGCCCAUCUGAGGUCUCCCACCCUAAUAGGCUCCUUCACAGUUCAGAAACGCAGCGACAGGGUCUGCCCCUGGUGUGACCUGCACUUGGAGAAGUGCAAAAGUAGGGGCCUUCCCACUUGAAGCCUGUCCUUAAAGUUACAAUAACCCUUUCUAGGAAAGGGAGACUACCUGCCCCAGAGGAGAAGAAAAGAAAGGCCCAGUCAUUUUCCUUUCUUGAAUAUUCAGAAAUAAACCAAUCUCUAAACAGAACCCAGGGCCACAGCAGACUAGCCAAGGCUUCCAAUAUGAAAAUACCCUGAAUAAAUAAAGACGAUAUAGCAGCUUCAAGCAGAAGAAACACCUAUGGAUGAUCUAAGCACAAAAGACAGCUUGAGGAGUGCAUCGUAGUGUCUGCAGUUUCUUUCGGACCUGCCGCCCCCAACAGAGGCCCACUUAGACAUGGCCUGGCCCCUCAGGAGGAAGACGGGCACCAGCAUGUGCGCAGCAGCAGCGCAGUCUACUCUGGAUGCUUUAGGGUUCCUGGUCAACUCUGGGAAGAAAGUCGAGGCCUAGUACUGUACAGCGUUAGCUCAUGGGAAUCCUCACAGGCCCUGAAAGGAGCAGGAAAUGAAGUGAAACUGCAAGGUGUCGAGGUCUUCGUUUAGUACCAAGAAGUGGAGGGGGGGCCCGCCUCUGCCGCAGAGGGAGCUGGGUCCCAGGCCCCAACCUGCUGGGCACUUAGCAGAUAGAAACCCACAAGGCCUGGCCUCUAGCCAGCCAGAGACACAGCCCCACUUCUGAUUUCUGGCCAACCACAUGGGUUAAGAAUGUGCCUAACAGUACUCCCUGCACAUACACACCCACAAAGAAUUUAAAUUCACAGCCUUUGCGGGGAAAGAGGAGUGUUGCUGAAGCCUGGACUAUUCAUCCUGGGACCAGAUUGACCUAUGCCAGGAAAGCUCAGAGCCUGCUAAAGUGCCCACAGGAGGAACUGGGCACACAACUGAGCUGAGCCAACUUUGCCUCUCAAAUCCACAGCAGUUUCCCCUGCAUUUCUACUCUAGUUCAGAGGAAAGACUGCAACCCAAGUUACUUUUAAAAGCAAAGUGAGCAGUGGGAAAGCUUAAGAAGCAGAGGCGCACUAGGAUGCCAGCCUGCCCCAAAGGCCACGCGGGGGAGCAUUGAUGAUGCACUGUCACCUUAUUUAGCCUUUUCCACACCAGGGGCCGGGGAUGAGCCCAGCUGCCGAGAGUGUAACUGUCAAACCAAUAAUUCAGAGAAGCAAAAUGAGCCCCAAUCACACAGGCUGAUUAGACAAAUCACAAAUCGGCAAGUAGCAACCUUAGCUGACCUACUCCAAACAUUAACGCCCCAAAGCUGCAUUUCCUGUUCUCUGACACAAUGCAGGCAGUACAGCGCCGGCCAGCCCAGGGCAGUGCUCCGGUCACUGACGCGUAAGAGGCCAGGGAGAGGCCUGGCGCUCUGGUGCUGGCUAAGACUUCCCAGCACUAGAAACUGCACACUUAUCUUCAUUUGGCCACUGAACCUUCCCAUCGGGAACCCCAGAAAUGGACCGGAAACCUUUGAGUUGCUCAGGUGCCUCUAGGGCUGUGUUCUUACAAGAAGCCUGUGUCCAGCCCCUGAAGGGGACAGGAAAUUGGGCAGUUCAUAAAGAGCAGCAGCUGACAUGGUCAGGUUUGAAAAGCAGACGCACCGUACUCACUUCUGCCCGAGCCUGCUCCGUUCCCCUCACCCACAGGCCACCACCUUCUCUUCAGACCUGCUGAGCUGCACCCAGGUCCCAUCCUGAGGACAGAGGCUGUGCAGGCUGGCCUCUGAACCAACCUCAGCUCCUCUGUCCUCUGCCCCAUGGCCAUUUGUCUAAAGAUUGGCAGUAUGACCUAGAGGUUUGAGCCAAGUGUUAAAAGUUCACUUUAUAAAAAGAUUUUGUUUCUGUUAAAAACAAUGUGUUCUGAACAAGUCACUUCUUGACCCUCUGGAAUGCCAGUCCCAUCUGCUAGCGGCCCGGAGUGCUUCCCCACAGCCAAGGCAGGGCUCGUUCUGCAAGACGUGGUGGUGGCAGGCCCAGGCCAAGUGGCCAAGAGGAGGUCCUGCAGGUGGAGGUGAGGCCUGGGUCUUCAAAGCUGCAGGUGAGGCGGCGGCGGUGAUGGCAGUGGGAGCCUAUGCCCCCACGUCUAUGUUUCCGCAGCACAGUGUGGUUCCUCAGUGGCUCAGCUUGGCAGAAGCAAACAAUGGGGGGAGGAAAGGGUUAACCAGUGGGGCCUGUGGACGGUGGAGGAAACGGAAAGGAAACACAGCAGGACAGAAGAUCCCUCACAGCCUCCCCUGGGCACCCUCCACGCCUGCUUUGAGCACCCACAGCCCGCAGCCUCGGCCGCCUCUGGCUCAGCAACUCUGCUCAGGAAGGCACAAGGAUGGGUGGGUGCGCAGGACCCACCCGGUUUAUCGACUUGGGUUUGGACUGCCCUGGCCGACUGGCUUUCCUAGUGGACCCUGCUCUAUGUGCACGGCUGCCUUCCUGUCUCCUGCCAUCCAAACUGAUCUGCCCACAUUGGAGAACGGGGGCCUCUUCAAAGACUCAGCUCCACCAUCCCAGCUGCUGAGCUGCUGUGAGGGAACGGCCUCUCCUCUCAGAGGAGUCAGGAGGCUGAGGGAGGUGUUCAGGGGCGCGCUGGACGGCGCUAUCUGUGAUCCCCCACUGUGAAGAAAGUCAGAAAGCUCCCAGAGGACAAUGGAGGCCACUUGGUCCAGGUCCCUGUCCUCCAGCAGCUCUGCUCUGUGAGGGAAGAAGGUGCGCCGUGUGUGCAGGGCACAGGCCGCCUCCUCGUUGGUUCUACAGAAGGCUUUCCUCCUCAGUGAGCUAGACUCCAGAGCCAGGCCCAAGGCUGCCAGGCCUUGAGACUCCGUGGUGAAGAUAGAGGGGCUGUCCACACACGUGCCACCCCCCUCCUUGGAGGGGAAGGCCCAUCAGGACUGAGACACCUGCUGUGUGAGCCAGCCUGAUUUCAUGGGAUAGAAACACCAGGCAAAUGCAAAAACUGCUGCCAGCUGAACCAAGCCCCCAGGAGAGAGAGACACCCCCCACCCCACCACACCUGGUGCCAUAGCUUCACACUGGAUAUGACCUUCCUCGCAGGGACCACGUGUUCCCCUCUAAGUCUACCUGGGAGCGCUCCUACCUCCCUUCAACUUUUCCCUCCUUUCCCUCUCCCUAGGUCUCUGUUGUUCUCCCCGCUCUACACAGGAUGUGGCCGGGAGCUGAGCUGUGGGGAAGGCAGGUGCACACUGCUACAAGCCCACGGCAGGUCUUUUCCAAGGCAGGGUGCCAUGCCUGAGGUGGUACUUGGGUGUUUCUUAGCCAUUUAAUAUAAGUGGUGCUAGUGCUUUUGUUUUUAAUGUGUCACCGACAAAGUUUGUGAGUGCUGUGCCCCUAACUCCGUUUCCCCUUAAACCCUGUGGUUUUUAGUGUGUGAUUUUUACACAGCACAGUGGUUAGGAGCACCUAUGUGGCGUUACAGCAGAACUGAGUGUAUGUGGGAAAAGUCAGCAACAGGUUAAUGCCACUGACUGUGCUGUGUGGACCACCUCAUCCAUCUCACAGUGGCCCCUGAGGUGGGCCACGUUAUAUCCCCUCCAGACAGAUGAGGAAGCAGGCAGACGUGAUGUUUCCAAGCUCACACAGCUAGCAAGCGGCAAAGCCUGGCUCCUCCUAACCUUCACUGGCCCAGAGCAAGCAGAGGACUGGGAUGGAUGAGGUCCUGGGAGUGUGAGGAUGCCCAGAGCUGCCUGUAUUCCAGGAGCCACAGAGAUUCUGGAAACAGCCGCUAUCUCUGAGGACAGCAGAGACCUGGACCCCUCUGACUUCCUCCUGGGGUGAGGAGGCAGCCUGGGGCCACUCCCAGGCUUUGUUGUAGGUUACAGGGAACCCCUGCCUGUGGCUGUCAUUUCUGGUCUGCUCCCUGUGGGCAGCUGUGUGAGGAUGAACUCUCCUCGGCCCAGUGGCACCCAGAGCCGAGCCUCAGCAGGAAUUUGAGGCAAGAAAAUCUGCCAAAGAGGGCACAGCUGCCCUUAAGAGGGAAGUAGAGGGCAUGUCUGGGAGGUGGCCCAGGCAGAGGUUGGAGAGCUAGGGCAGGGAGCCGGGGAAGACAAUCGCCUUGCCUGACCUAAGAAAACACUCGCCGAAAACCUGGAAAGUCAGGGGCGGUGGCUCAUGCCUAUUACCAGUUAUGUGGGAGGCUGAGGUGGGUAACUUGCCUGACCCCAGGAGUGCAAGGCCAGCCUGGGCAACAUAGCGAGACUCCAUCUCUUUAAACAAAACAACAAAAAAAAGCUGGAACCCCCUGUCCCUAGUGCCCUGGGCCGGUCUCUGUUCUUCUGUGCAUCAGUCUCGUCACUGUGAAAGGGGACUGGCCUGGUGUGCUGCUGGGCUCCAUUCAUGAACCAAACCUUUGCCAGGCACUGGCCAGGGGCCAGGACAGCGCGGCAUCUGUGCCCUGCAAUGGGGCUGGAUGCCUCAGGGCUAGUAACCCAAGCCCGCCCCGCCCAGACCCAGGACCCCACCCACCACAUCCACGGUGCUGAACACAUGGCAGUAGUGGUGGCUGGUCUGCAGGUCCUUGGUGAUGUAGGCAAAAGUACAGAGGUCCUCCGGGUCCUGGGCCGCACAGGAAAUGUUCCGGAUCUCGUGCUCUGCGAUGACGUUCUGCUGGGCAAGGCCGUGCUCUGGAAUUCUCAGGCUCAGGCAUGCCUCUGGCACCCCCCACCCCAGCCUGUUACCAUGUCACUGUUCUCUGUCCCAGCCUAGAGCAUCAAGCGAACCCCUCUUCAUCUUCUCAUUUUGUUUAUUGGUGGGGGUGGGGGAUGGUAUCUAACCUUCCCCGAUUUCGGUUUGAGGUCUCCACCCUUGACCACAACAACUAAGGCAGUAAAAUGUUCACACCCAACCACAAGCUCUCCCCAGCCUCUCCCACCUCCCAGGGUGGGGGCAAAGAGAGAAGGGUGUCAGGUAGGUGGGAUCCCACGCGGUGGCGCACAGGGGGGUCCUUUGCUCACGGAGGGAAUCACACCCGUGAAGACCUGUGAGCAGGCACGUGGCCAGCGGAGCCCAGGUGGAGAAGCUAACAGCAGUCUCCACUAGGGCGGGACGGGGCUGACAGCAGGCACCCAGGCCAACAGACAUGCUUCUUGGAGAAGUGGGAAGUAAUAAGAGGACUGGGGACCCUCCAGGGAGAUAAGGGAUGACAGAAGGCAGCCAGAUUGCUUGCCCUGGAGCCCUGUGGGUCUGAUGGGGACGUGGGUCCCACUCCAGCCAAGAGUCCCUAUAAGCAGCACACCUUGUUGGAGGCAUCGAUGAACUUGACACCUUUGUAUGUGAUGGACAGGAUGAUGGUGGGGAUCUUCUUCAUGUGCUCGGUAGAUUUCUACAGGAAACAAGGAGUGGCCCUGUCAGUGCCCCUACUCAGGGCUAAGCCUCCUGGGCUUCCGCAGGUGCCAGCUUCCCUCCCAUCCUUACAUAGCACGGCAGGGCCCAGGCAACUGUAGCUACUGUCCCCAUUGCUGCCUUCUGUCCUAGCCAGUCCCAUGGCACCCUCCAGCCCGCACAGAUACCCUCCAACCCAUAUAGGCACCCUACCCGCAUCUUGGCACAGGCGUCUUGUGUGGAUUCUGUCCCUCGCAGAUCUUUGAUCAGCAUGGAACCCAGAUACUGUGGGGAUGAGCAGUGGCCAGGCUUAGGAAAUCCUGCGUUUCCAUGCAGGGGUGACCCAGCCAAUUUGGGACUGUCCCACACUCAAGUAGUUACCCGUCCCGGUAACACCCCCUCCCCUGCCCCAGCUGGAGAGGCCCUCCAUUCAACUCUGGCUAAAGGACCCAGAGGCCUCCACCCCUUUGCCUUAGCCACCAAGAGUGGCUGAAGAGUGGAGAACAGCUCGCAAGUCCUGGGCCUGGCUUUGUGGAGUCCCUGCUGGGACCUAGCCGCAGGUGCCUGGCCGAGAAGGAGCAGGGAGGCUGGCCCUGCUGGGAGGGUGAGAGCAACUCACAUUGGCUUCAUAACCACAGGACUCGAAGAUGAGUUUCUCUGGCUGGUGUUGCCAACUCUGCACUGGGGCGUAGGGGGCUGCCAGGCUGGGGGGCCGCAGGGUCAGCUUGGCCUCGCGGUGCUCCUCCUGCAGAACACACGCAAUUGGACACCUGCUCCUUGCUCCACAGGAGCACACCCAAGGGUGAGAUGCCAGUGACCUCAGCAAGUUCAGGGGUCAAGUGGAGAUGGCAGGGGGCAGACCAGCAAUUCAAACCCACUGCGGGAGAGGGGAGGUGCUAGCCACAGCACCGCCUGAGAGCAGGGCUCGGGAAGGACAGUCUCUGUGGUGUCCGAGACGAGUCUCAAAGGAGAUGGGAAAUGACCAGAGAGGAGAUGGCAGAGUCUGUGGGGAGGGCGGGGUACAGGCUGCCAGGCUGUUCUGCAUAUAGACCAAAGGAGAGAGCGGCGGUCAUGAGACCCUGGGAUGCCUUGGGGCCCAGCCCAGGGCCUGGGAGGGAUCUUCAGAGCUGGGAAGCCAGUGAAGCCCCCGUGCCUAGGAAUGCAUUUCAAAUGGAUCCUUCUGGCAGCAGCUGGAGGGAGGGGGAGGCCACUGCGGUCCAGGCAAGAGAUGAUGGGUCCCUGCCCAGGGUGCUGGUAGAAGGAAUGGAGAGGAAGGAAAAGAUUUAGGAAACACUGAGGCCCUCCCUUCCCAGCAGUGUGCAGAGCCUCUCAACAGCCAUCGGAAUUGCUGGACAAUGUGUUUUCCUUUAAAACUCAUGGCUGUGCUUGUAGAAAGGGAAGGGAAGUCCCCAGAGCCAGAAGUGAAAAGUGAGAGUCAGAGAAGCAGGCAGGGGUGAAGCUGAAGUCACCCAGAGGGGCCUGAGGGACACCUGCCAAUCCUGUGUCUGACAGGCCAAGAAGAGGACAAAGGACAAAGCCAGGGUCCGUACAAGGCGAGAGGCAGGACAGGCAGGUCCUGAGUAAAUCCAGGACUCCUGGAAAUGAUGCCCAGAGGGUGAGCCAGGAAUGUGAGACGGGCCCACCUCGGCCAGGGCUGGAGCGGGCACCGGGAGCACAGGAGGUGUCUCCAGAGGUGCCCCCAUGGCUGCAGGCAGAGAACGGGAAGAACAGAGUCUGGUCUGCGGCGGUUUUGCUGGGCAGGAGGAAGAGAACGCUGCAGAGGUGAGGCUGCAGGGAAAGCAGUUCUCUGGGAACAAUGCAGGUAAGCAGAGAAGGAAGGGGCCAAGAAGGAGCUCAGAGAGGCCAAGAGAGCACAGAGGGCUCUGGGGCCAGCAGGGCAGGAUGCAGGAGGCCACAGAGAAAGAGUGGACACGGGAUCUGAACCCCUGAGGGAGGGAAGUGCAGGCCACAGGAGUGGCCCUGGCAGCCGACUGCUGAAAUGAGUUGUGCGGCCUGAGCUCAGCACCAUGGGGGCUGGGUGAGCCUUACACAAGGCGGCUGGGUGUGGGUGAGCAGAGCAGGCUGGUGCCUCCUGACUCUGGUGCCAGCCCAACUGUGCUCGGGUACAGGGCAGCAGGUGGUUCUGGGAGGCCCUGUCCCGCCCAGAGGAAUGAGGUAGACCCUGGCCGCUGCUCCACUCCCCACCCCCUACCCGCAGCUCCACUCCCCACCCCCUACCCGCCCUGCCCCACCUGCAUCCUGAAGCGCUCGGCUCUGGAGGGGGCCGCGGGGUCAUGGAGACUGUCAUGGCGCCUCCUGCCUGUGUCCCCUGGAGGCAGCAGCAGGUCAGCCGACCGCCCAGUGCAGGAAUCAUUCUGGCUCAGCGGGGAUGACGUCUGGGAGAGCAAAUCUUGGCACUGUGGAGGGAGAAAUCCAGGUGGAACUUGCAACCCUUGGCCCAGUGCCCGGCUACAGGUGUCAGCCAGCCCCGCUGGUCAGGACGGCACAGGGAGCGGCACCAGGAGAAGCAGCAGGGAUCGAAGGGGCCAACGCCACAGGGGUGUCAGACAAGUGGCACCACGCAGCCACCGUCCACUAGUGUCCCCAAAGAGGGUGGGGAAGCCACUUUUGCGUUUAUAAGAGAUUAAAUCUUCUGUCCUGAUCCAUCGCAGGCCUCUGCGCAUGACCAAAGCACCCUCCUGAGAAAAAAUGUAGCCCUGUCAGUCAGGGCCCUAAAGCCACCGUCCCCCACAGAAUAAAGACUGGGCUUCGCAGUGUCUAUAUUUGAAUGUCAGUUGUGUAUUUGGUUCCCAGAGCAAGGCUGGGCCUCCACUUUCUCAUCUGUAAAAGGAGGAUGAACAGGACCCACUUCACGAAGCCCCUGAGGGUUCAAUGGGGUGAGACCUGCCCAGUGCACCCGAGGGCUCCCUGCCCCAGUUACCGCCAUUCCUGCACGCUGUGGCCUGGGGCUGGGGGAGAGCUCUUCCUCAGCCGCAGGCUCUGGGUCUAACCCGUUUCUGCAGUCAGGAAUUACCGGCAGGAGCAACAGAUCACUGGUGAGGUUUUUAAAAUGCAGCUGUCUUAGCCACCUGAGCCUGGGAAUUCGAACUCAGAUCUGGGGGCUGCGCAGGAGGCUGCAAGUCCUGGCUGUUUGGAUUUGUCUCAGGUGUUAUCCGACCCAGCCCCUGCCUGUCCCCAGGCACAGAGCUGAGUUCAAUGCCCAGGCACGGCCUGGUGUUUUCCUACUAUCCCCCAAGUC